rnacentral:rRNA from 1 species
CCAGACUCCUACGGGAGGCAGCAGUGGGGAAUAUUGGGCAAUGGGCGCAAGCCUGACCCAGCAAUGCCGCGUGAAGGAAGAAGGCUUUCGGGUUGUAAACUUCUUUGACAGGGGAAGAGCAGAAGACGGUACCCUGAAAACAAGCCACGGCUAACUACGUGCCAGCAGCCGCGGUAAUACGUAGGGGGCAAGCGUUAUCCGGAUUUACUGGGUGUAAAGGGAGCGUAGACGGCAUUGCAAGUCCGGAGUGAAAGCCCACGGCCCAACCGUGGGACUGCUCUGGAAACUGUAGAGCUGGAGUGCGGGAGGGGCAGGCGGAAUUCCUAGUGUAGCGGUGAAAUGCGUAGAUAUUAGGAGGAACACCGGCGGCGAAGGCGGCCUGCUGGACCGUAACUGACGUUGAGGCUCGAAAGCGUGGGGAGCAAACAGGAUUAGAUACCCCGGUAAAG